rnacentral:lncRNA from 1 species
AAUAUUAACAUUACAAGGUAAAACAUAGAAAAAUUGCAAAAUAACAAAACCACGAUCUACUCUGUACAUUUUUGUAAUUAAAUUUGUGCAUUCCAAUGGUGCACAAUUGCAUACUGUCUGUUCUGCAAAGCCCUAAAUCCUGGAACAAAUUGAUGUGAAUGUCUCACACCAUCCCACAAAGGCAGAGGAGCAAACCAGAGUUUAUCAAGUGAGAAUUAAUAAGCAUUCAUAACUCUAAAACACAUAUUAAUAAAGGAUUAGACAUAGUCCCCAGUUACAAAAGAAUUACAGGGAAAACCGCAAUCAUAUGAUACACUCUAAAGAAAACCUUAGCAGAAGCUGAUAGAACAAUUGAGUUUCAUGCAGCUGGGCAGCAUUCAUGCACUGUUGACUGUAACAGUACAGCUUAGCUUGAAAGUUAACUAGUCUGAAUUACUUCAUCUGUUAUUACAAUCUACUGGCCUGAGACUCAGUAGCUAAAGAGGCAUUCCUUUGCCUGUAGAGAGGUAUUGACAGCAAUCCCUCAUCAGUUUCUUGGUUUUGCCUUAAAAAGGACAAUCUGUGCUAGAGAAAUUGAUUGAUUGCCAUAUCCCUCAAUGGUCCAAACUGCUUCUAUUGCUUUUUGCAGGUUAAAAAACUGAGGGAAAGCACUACUAAAUUAUUGUGACAAAUACACGUAAUGAUGUUAUUUUUUAAAUUAUUAUUUUUAUUUUAAACUCUACUCCAUGUUGUGUCUAGUCAGUGUUUGAAUGUGAUCUGGGAAUCAGAGGGCAAUUGUCUAGUCCUGAUUUUGUAUGUCAGGAAAACACCUGGAGCAGAGUGGGGAAGUCUUGCUCAUUAGCAGUGAAGUUUCGGUUUGUUUAAUAUUGUUUGUUAUUCUUUGAGGCACCAGACACAGACAGCAAGUACCAACCAGUAUGACAUUGCAACUGGAGCUGCUGCCAGAGCUUCAUUAGAAUGGAUAUGUUCAGAUGGGAAGCCUGUAACUAUGAAUGCACAAACAGUAGUCAAGAUCCAGAAUCAUGAGAGCUGGUGAGAUGGCUGAGUAAAUGGAUGCUUGGGCACAGGAGAUAGCCUGGUCUGUGACAGUGCCUCACAGAAAUGAGAAAUGACCCAUGAAAGAUGAAAAUCAGCUUUUGCAUCAGCAGACCCAGGUAGGACUGCUGUGAUUUGCAGUGCAAUAAAGGCAGCAGGAAGCAGAGACA